UGGGGGAUAGUUCAACGGCAGAACGCCUGGUUCUGGCCCAGGUAAUCUUGGUUCGAAUCCAGGUCCCCCAG
rnacentral:tRNA from 1 species